rnacentral:rRNA from 1 species
UUCUUUUUGAAAAUAANUUAAAGUUUAAUCUGCCCACNGAAUGAUUUAAUUUAAAGGGCUGCAGUAUAUUGACUGUACAAAGGUAGCAUAAUCAAUAGUCUUUUAAUUGAAGACUUGUAUGAAUGAUUUAAUGAGAUAUAAACUGUCUCUUUAUUAAAAUUAGAAUUUAAUUUUUUAGUUAAAAAGCUAAAAUAGUUAUAAAAGACGAGAAGACCCUAUAGAGUUUUAUAUUUUAUUAUGAAUAAAUAAUAAUAUAUAAUUUAAAAAUUAUUCAUAAAAAAGUAUUUUGUUGGGGUGAUAGAAAAAUAAAAAUAACUUUUUUUAAAAAAUUAACAUUAAUUUAUGAAUAAAUGAUCCAUAAUUUAUGAUUAUAAGAUUAAAUUACCUUAGGGAUAACAGCGUAAUUUUUUUUUUUAGUUCAAAUAAAAAUAAAAGUUUGCGACCUCGAUGUUGGAUUAAGAUAAAAUUUAAAUGCAAAAGUUUAAAAUUUUGAUCUGUUCNAUCAUUAAAAUCUUACA